GGGGGGGGGUGCUAUACAUGCAAGUCGAGCGCGGGAAGCGAGUGGAUCCCUUCGGGGUGAAGCUCGUGGAACGAGCGGCGGACGGGUGAGUAACACGUGGGCAACCUGCCUGUAAGACCGGAAUAACCCCGGGAAACCGGGGCUAAUGCCGGGUAAUACUUUUCUUCGCAUGAAGGAAAGUUGAAAGAUGGCUUCUUGCUAUCACUUACAGAUGGGCCCGCGGCGCAUUAGCUAGUUGGUGAGGUAACGGCUCACCAAGGCGACGAUGCGUAGCCGACCUGAGAGGGUGAUCGGCCACACUGGGACUGAGACACGGCCCAGACUCCUACGGGAGGCAGCAGUAGGGAAUCUUCCGCAAUGGACGAAAGUCUGACGGAGCAACGCCGCGUGAACGAUGAAGGUCUUCGGAUCGUAAAGUUCUGUUGUUAGGGAAGAACAAGUACCGUGCGAAUAGAGCGGUACCUUGACGGUACCUAACGAGGAAGCCCCGGCUAACUACGUGCCAGCAGCCGCGGUAAUACGUAGGGGGCAAGCGUUGUCCGGAAUUAUUGGGCGUAAAGCGCGCGCAGGCGGUUCCUUAAGUCUGAUGUGAAAGCCCACGGCUCAACCGUGGAGGGUCAUUGGAAACUGGGGAACUUGAGGACAGAAGAGGAGAGUGGAAUUCCACGUGUAGCGGUGAAAUGCGUAGAUAUGUGGAGGAACACCAGUGGCGAAGGCGACUCUCUGGUCUGUUUCUGACGCUGAGGUGCGAAAGCGUGGGUAGCAAACAGGAUUAGAUACCCUGGUAGUCCACGCCGUAA
rnacentral:rRNA from 1 species